UGGUUCUGGCACCGAUGAAGAACGCAGCGAAAUGCGAUAAGUAAUGUGAAUUGCAGAAUUCCGCGAAUCAUCGAAUCUUUGAACGCACAUUGCGCCCGCUAGUACUCUAGCGGGCAUGCCUGUUCGAGCGUCAUUUCGACCAUCAAGCCUUAGUUGCUUGUGUUGGAGUACUAUAGUUCAUACUGUACGCUCUGAAAUGCAGCGGCGGACUUGCUAAGAUCCCGAACGUAGUAGUUUUCAACUCGUUUAGGGUAUCCAGUAAGUUAUUCUAGCCGUUAAACAAUCCAUAUUUUAAUGGUUGACCUCGGAUCAGGUAGGAAUACCCGCUGA
rnacentral:misc_RNA from 1 species